rnacentral:rRNA from 1 species
GACAGAGGCCCCAAGCGUUAGGCGGAAUCACUGGGCUUAAAGCGUGUGUAGGCGGAUCGUUAAGUGUCUUGUGAAAUCCCACGGCUCACCCGUGGAACUGCUGGGCAUACUGGCGAUCUUGGGCCAACUAGGGGCAGCCGGAACAAGCGGUGGAGCGGUGAAAUGCGUAGAUAUCGCUUGGAACGCCGAAGGUGAAACAGCUGCUGGGGUUGUGGC